UACGUAGGGGGCAAGCGUUGUCCGGAUUUAUUGGGCGUAAAGAGCGUGUAGGCGGCCAGGUAGGUCUGCUGUGAAAACUCGAGGCUUAACCUCGAGAUGUCGGCGGAAACCAUCUGGCUAGAGUCCGGAAGAGGAGAGUGGAAUUCCUGGUGUAGCGGUGAAAUGCGCAGAUAUCAGGAAGAACACCAGUGGCGAAGGCGGCUCUCUGGGAAGGGACUGACGCUGAGACGCGAAAGCGUGGGGAGCGAACAGG
rnacentral:rRNA from 1 species